AAGUCGUAACAAGGUUUCCGUAGGUGAACCUGCGGAAGGAUCAUUAUCGUAGGGCUUGCGGCCCUGUGAGAUAGAGCCCUUGCCUUUAUGAGUACCGUCCGUUUCUCGGAGGCCCGCUGCCGAUGGACCCAAAACCAAACCCUUUUAUUACCUGUAUCAGUCUGAAAAAUAAACAAAAAUUAAAA
rnacentral:misc_RNA from 1 species